rnacentral:rRNA from 1 species
CGCGGCCUAUCAGCUUGUUGGCGAGGUAACGGCUCACCAAGGCGACGACGGGUAGCUGGUCUGAGAGGAUGGCCAGCCACAUUGGGACUGAGAGACGGCCCAGACUCCUACGGGAGGCAGCAGUGGGGAAUCUUGCGCAAUGGCCGAAAGGCUGACGCAGCGACGCCGCGUGGGGGAUGAAGCAUUUCGGUGUGUAAACCCCUGUUGCCCGGGACGAAUCCUGGUUUUCGAGCCAGUUGACGGUACCGGGUGAGGAAGCACCGGCUAACUCCGUGCCAGCAGCCGCGGUAAUACGGAGGGUGCGAGCGUUGUCCGGAAUCACUGGGCGUAAAGGGCGCGUAGGCGGUUGGGGUAGUCCGUGGUGAAAGCUCGUGGCUCAACUACGAGUCGGCCAUGGAUACUCCUCGACUGGAGCACUGUAGAGGCAGGUGGAAUUCCGGGUGUAGCGGUGGAAUGCGUAGAGAUCCGGAAGAACACCGGUGGCGAAGGCGGCCUGCUGGGCAGUAGCUGACGCUGAGGCGCGACAGCGUGGGGAGCAAACAGGAUUAGAUACCCUGGUAGUCCACGCCGUAAACGAUGGGUACUAGGUGCUUGGGGGAGCGACCCCCUGAGUGCCGGCGCUAACGCAUUAAGUACCCCGCCUGGGGAGUACGG